rnacentral:rRNA from 1 species
UCCAGCGAACUUGGCAGAGAUGCCUUGGUGCCUUCGGGAACGCUGAGACAGGUGCUGCAUGGCUGUCGUCAGCUCGUGUUGUGAAAUGUUGGGUUAAGUCCCGNAACGAGCGCAACCCUUAUCCUUUGUUGCCAGCGAUUCGGUCGGGAACUCAAAGGAGACUGCCGGUGAUAAACCGGAGGAAGGUGGGGAUGACGUCAAGUCAUCAUGGCCCUUACGAGUAGGGCUACACACGUGCUACAAUGGCGCAUACAAAGAGAAGCGACCUCGCGAGAGCAAGCGGACCUCAUAAAGUGCGUCGUAGUCCGGAUCGGAGUCUGCAACUCGACUCCGUGAAGUCGGAAUCGCUAGUAAUCGUGGAUCAGAAUGCCACGGUGAAUACGUUCCCGGGCCUUGUACACACCGCCCGUCACACCAUGGGAGUGGGUUGCAAAAGAAGUAGGUAGCUUAACCCUCGGGAGGGCGCUUACCACUUUGUGAUUCAUGACUGGGGUGAAGUCGUAACAAGGUAGGCGUAGCGAG